UGGGGGAUAUUGCACAAUGGGGGAAACCCUGAUGCAGCGACGCCGCGUGUAGGAAGACGGUCCUCUGGAUUGUAAACUACUGUCUUCGGGGACGAUAAUGACGGUACCCGAGGAGGAAGCUCCGGCUAACUACGUGCCAGCAGCCGCGGUAAUACGUAGGGAGCGAGCGUUGUCCGGAAUUACUGGGUGUAAAGGGAGCGUAGGCGGGAAGGUAAGUUGGGUGUGAAAACUAUUGGCUCAACCAAUAGACUGCACUCAAAACUACCUUUCUUGAGUGAAGUAGAGGCAGGCGGAAUUCCUAGUGUAGCGGUGAAAUGCGUAGAUAUUAGGAGGAACACCAGUGGCGAAGGCGGCCUGCUGGGCUUUUACUGACGCUGAGGCUCGAAAGUGUGGGUAGCAAACA
rnacentral:rRNA from 1 species